GGCCAGUUAGCUCAGUUGGUUAGAGUGUGGUGCUGACAACACCAAGGUCCAGGGUUUGACCCCUGUACUGGCCA